UACAGAGGUCUCAAGCGUUGUUCGGAUUCAUUGGGCGUAAAGGGUGCGUAGGUGGCGCCGUAAGUCGGGUGUGAAAUUUCGGAGCUUAACUCCGAAACUGCAUUCGAUACUGCGGUGCUUGAGGACUGGAGAGGAGACUGGAAUUCAUGGUGUAGCAGUGAAAUGCGUAGAGAUCAUGAGGAAGACCAGUGGCGAAGGCGGGUCUCUGGACAGUUCCUGACACUGAUGCGCGACAGCGUGGGGAGCAAACAGG
rnacentral:rRNA from 1 species